UACGUAGCAUCUUGAAGACAAGAUACGACUUAAUAACAAGCGGGAAAGAUAUAAGACCAUUUUUCUUGAAUUUUUGACGUUUGUGCCAUUUGGUGGCUAAAAGAAAGUAUUUUAAUAUGCAUUAUAAGUACGUAGAAGAAGUUUAACAUAAAGUACCAAGUUGGAGAAAGGAAUAAUCUACUAGACUCCAAGUUUGUAGAAGUAAUGUUACUAAUACUCGUUAAACAGAAAGUGACAAAAACAGAUAUUUGAUCCAAAAAUCAAAUGAAAAAAUAGCUUUGAU
rnacentral:misc_RNA from 1 species